AACGAACGCUGGCGGCAUGCCUAACACAUGCAAGUCGAACGAGACCUUCGGGUCUAGUGGCGCACGGGUGCGUAACGCGUGGGAACCUGCCCUUAGGUUCGGAAUAACUCCCCGACAGGGGUGCUAAUACCGGAUAAUGUCUUCGGACCAAAGAUUUAUCGCCUUUGGAUGGGCGCGCGUUGGAUUAGCUGGUUGGUAGGGUAAAAGCCUACCAAGGCGACGAUCAGUAGCUGGUCAGAGAGGAUGAUCAGCCACACUGAGACUGAGACACGGCCCAGACUCUUACGCGAUGCAGCAGUGGGGAAUAGUGGACAAUGGGGGAAAGGCUGAUCCAGCAAUGCCGCGUGAGUGAUGAAAUCCGUAGGGUUGUAAAGCUCUUUUAACCGGGAUGAUAAUGACGGUACCUGGUGAGUAAGCCCCGGCUAACUCCGUG
rnacentral:rRNA from 1 species